AUUGAACGCUGGCGGCAGGCCUAACACAUGCAAGUCGAACGAGUGGCGGACGGGUGAGUAAUGUCUGGGAAACUGCCCGAUGGAGGGGGAUAACUACUGGAAACGGUAGCUAAUACCGCAUACCAUCGGAUGUGCCCAUAUGGGAUUAGCGAGUAGGUGGGGUAAAAGCUCACCUCGGCGACGAUCCCUAGCUGGUCUGAGAGGAUGCCCCGCCACACUGGAACUGAUCCACGGUCCAGACUCCUACGGGAGGCAGCAGUGGGGAAUAUUGCACAAUGGGCGCAAGCCUGAGUCAGCCAUGGCGCGUGGAUGAAGAAGGCCUUCGGGUUGUAAAGUACUGUCAGCGAGGAGGCGUUACUCGCAGAAGAAGCACCGGCUAACUCCGUGCCAGCCGCCGCGGUAAUUC
rnacentral:rRNA from 1 species